GGGUGCGAUCAUACCAGCACUAAAGCUUCGGAUCCCGUUAGAACUCCGAAGAUAAGUGUGCUUGGGCGAGAGUACUUGGAUGGGUGACCCCCUGGGAAGUCCUUGUGUUGCACUCC